CAGGCAGUUGAAGACUAAGACUAGGACUAUGUGAGUCUAAAAUUAGGCAUGUUUCUGUGCCCACACUAUUGUAUCAAGGCAGUAUUUUAAUAAUCAUAAUAGUUUCAUGCUUGUAGUAACUGUCAGUGUGAAGGGAGCCCUCAGGUGUUUAAUCAUUUCCUAAUUGUGUACUUUGCUAGAGUUCUACAGUUAGUACUAGCCAAGUACUCGUUACAUGCUCUUGUGAAGUAGGCCUAUAUAACAGUGCCGUCAUUGAGGUGUAUGUUGUUAAGCAACCACCAUAAUUAUCCUUAGAAUUGAAUGAGUGAACAAAUGUAGCUUGAGACUCUUGAUCUGUAACCUUUCACUUUUCACUCUCCCCUCCUUUCCUUCUUAGAGUGAGAUAAAGGGAAGGGAGUUACAGAAAGUGGGACAAGAAAAGGCAGUAGAGAAGUGGGAAAUACAAUUGAUUGACGUGUCCCAAUUUUUAAUGUGCAAGGAUUGGAAUGUCUGCCACAGUAGAGAAGAAUCAAGAGUCAAUCAGUGAGUCAAUGUUAUUUCUAAAACACAAUGUACUACCUCUAAACAACACAACAGUAAGUAUGUGGGGAUUAUAUCAUAAUGUAAAUAAGCCAAUAAUUAGGACAAAAACUAGGUAUUUUUGUCUCCAAUUAAAAGGUGCAUGAAAGCGUACCUGUAUUUUUUGCAUAGAUCCAUCCUAAAUACCGUUAGAUAAAAGAGAAAUAAAAACAUUUAAAAUACUUUUAAACCUUCAUAUGCCUAUUCGUGUGUUCCACCGAUGGUUAACAAAUCCAUCUGUGUGAGCACAUGACAACACAAUGCCUUCCACUGAUUGUCGUGCCGGGCAGUGUGAGCAAAAUGUCAUUAUAAACAGUCUGAUGUGUUCUCCUAGUUGCAUUGUAUUCUCUACAGAAAUGCAUCGGUUGCUGUAGUAAAAAGGUUGGAUAAAAUUCCCUUGUUAGAGAUUGCCAGAUCAAAAUAUUGGGAGUGGGAAAAAGUAUAAUAAAAAAUAAAGCAGAAGACAUAGGCCUAGCAAAUUAAGUUAAUUCAGGAUUAUGUGUGGUUGAAAAUUACCCAUAAAUUUUAAGAAUUAAAUUUCUAUUUUUGCUACAAGCAAAAUCCCCAAAUAUUCCCUCAGUAAUCUGAAUUCCACAAUUUUCUGUUCUCUUUAUAACAAUCAAUACAGAAACAUUUUAAAAUUAUAUAUGGAAUUGUUUUUCAAGCUGUAUUUAGAGUAACGAGUGUGAUAAUAUAUAUUUUAAGGAUAAAUUUAGGAACCUUAUCACAUAUGAAACAUGUUAAUUGGAUUAUUUUUUAACUAUAUUAAUAUAACUUGUAUUAAAAUAGUAACUAUUAUGGCCUCUUGUUAAUACCUUGGGCCUCCCAAUACCAGUGUGGGAAAAUCAGAACCAGCUAUUAGAUUCACUCAAUGGAUACACUUUCAUUCAUCUUUUGUUUUCCUUAUUGUGUGUGGAAUUCAAAAUGUUUUGUUUCUGCCUGCCAUAUAUAUGUGAAUUCAUGGUAAAAUAAAUUGACAAUAAUAAAAAAAAAAAGAAGAAGUUAUGCCUGAAAAUUUUCUGGGGUGGUUGAUACUUUCACUAUCUAUGUCUACUUCAUAUUUUCAAUACAGGUAUCACAGAAUGUCCAUUUUGUUGGGAAUGAUUUUAAAUGUGCACUAAAUAUUUUAUUGUUCCAACGUCAGUUGAAUUAUCAACAGAUGAUAGUAAGGAUUAAAAAUAUCUGUGUAUAAGUGAAUAUUUGUUUUUAAAACUUUUUUAAUUUUUAAUUUAAAUUUCUUAUGUGGUACUCAAAAAUUGAAACUGAUGUUGUCACCAUAAAUACUUCAUUUAUAUUUUUUAUUGACAUAUUUAAAUCAAGGUAAGUUCAGAGACUGUGAUUGCAUUAUUUUUUGGUUGGGGCCUCACCACUAGUUGCUAAAAUACAAUGAUACAAUUUAAUAAUUACAAUGGCAUCAUGCAACUUACAUAGCGCCACCAGUCUUCUCAUUCCACUACAGUACAGUACUGUGAAAUUCUCUGGAAGGUUUUAAUUUAAAUUAAAUGAGUUUAUAAUGUGUUGUAUCAAAGAUUAUUUUCAAUUAGAAAGGAUGUGGAAUAAUUUUGAAAUGGGACAAUAACUGAUUGAAGUAUUGGGUUUCUGUAUCGGAACCUGAACAAGGCAUGCUUAUUUUCUCAACAGCAAGCCCAUUAUUAUGUUUGCAAUUUUUAGAACUUGUGAUUAAACCUGUCAUCAUGUCUGAGUUGUAUUUGAUUAUAAAUAAAGGCAAAAGAAAGUAAUACAUCAUACUCAUUUUAAUUUUGAUUAAACUAUUGUUGUUUGUAACCAAAUGUAAAUUCAUUUACUUGUUAUUAAUGCUUGUUAGUACUAGAUUAAACACUGAAUCCCAAAUUAAAUUAUGUUUUGUUAAGAGGAGACUUCCUGCAUUAAAAGAAAAUUGAAUCUAACACUA
rnacentral:lncRNA from 1 species